rnacentral:rRNA from 1 species
AUCAUGGCUCAGAUUGAACGCUGGCGGGAUGCUUUACACAUGCAAGUCGAACGGCAGCACGGACUUCGGUCUGGUGGCGAGUGGCGAACGGGUGAGUAAUGUAUCGGAACGUGCCUAGUAGCGGGGAUAACGAUGGUGCUGCAGCUACCGCGCGCCCUUCGGGGGAAAGCGGGGACCUUCGGGCCUCGCACUAUUAGAGCGGCCGAUAUCGGAUUAGCUAGUUGGUGGGGCAACGGCUCACCGGCGACGAUCCGUAGCUGGUUUGAGAGGACGACCAGCCACACUGGGACUGAGACACGGCCCAGACUUUAAGCGGGAGGCAGGGAAUUUUGGACAAUGGGGAAACCCUGAUCCAGCCAUCCCGCGUGUGCGAUGAAGGCCUUCGGGUUGUAAAGCACUUUUGGCAGGAAAGAAACGACACGGGAUAAUACCUCGUGCAACUGACGGUACCUGCAGAAUAAGCACCGGCUAACUACGUGCCAGCAGCCGCGAAACAAAGAAGGCGGGCAGUCGAAUUACCCAGCAAGUGCAGGCGGUUCGGAAGUAAAGACGUGAAUCCAGAGCUGAACUUUUGAAUCAGAUAACUACUGAGCUUUGGAGUGUCGAGGAGGUAAUCUGCGUGGCGAAAUGAUAGUGCGAGGAACACCGAUGGCGAAGGCAGCCUCCCGGGAUAACACUGACGCUCAUGCACGAAAGCGUGGGGAGCAAACAGGAUUAGAUACCCUGUGUCCACGCUCCCAAACGAUGUCAACUAGCUGUUGGGGCCUUCGGGCCUUGGUAGCGCAGCUAACGCGUGAAGUUGACCGCCUGGGGAGUACGGUCGCAAGAUUAAAACUCAAAGGAAUUGACGGGGACCCCGCACAAGCGGUGGAUGUGAUGUGGAUUAAUUGACGCAACGAAAAACCUUACUCACUCUGACAUGUCUGGAAACCUGAAGAGAUUUGGGAGUGCUCGCAAGAGAACCGGAACACAGGUGCUGCAUGGCUGUCGUCAGCUCGUGUCGCAUAUGUUGUUAAGUCCCGCAAAACGAUGCAACCCUGUCAUUAUUGUUACGAAAGGGCACUCUAUCGAGACUGCCGGUGACAAACCGGAGGAAGGUGGGGAUGACGUCGUCUCAUGGCCCUUAUGGGUAGGGCUUCAUCGUCAUGUUAAUGGUCGGGACAGAGGGUCGCCAACCCGCGAGGGGAGCCAAUCCCAGAAACCCGAUCGUAGUCCGGAUCGCAGUCUGCAACUCGACUGCGUGAAGUCGGAAUCGCUAGUAAUCGCGGAUCAGCAUGUCGCGGUGAAUACGUUCCCGGGUCUUGUACACACCGCCCGUCACACCAUGGGAGUGGGUUUUACCAGAAGUAGUUAGCCUAACCGUAAGGAGGGCGAUUACCACUGGGUAGGAUUCAUGACUGGGGUGAAGUCGUAAAUAG